CGUCCUCACGCGCGCGUGCCCGCUCCCCGCGCAACGCGUCCUAGGACUGGCUGCGCCAGAGACGCCGCCUGUGGGUGGUGGCUGUAGAGAGGAGUGGGUGCUGUCUGGGGACUUCCUGCAGGCGUCUGCAUUAAACAAUAAGCGGCCGUCACCUAUGUGCGUAUUUCUGUGUAAUCCGCCACAUGCCUCAGAGAUCUGGACGUUUUGAGAUUAAACAUAUUUUGGCUUCGGGAACCUGCCCUCGGAGGAGAGGCCUGACGUUGGUGGUUGCCCUAGGCCGGCCCCAGCUAGUCCCGUGGGGUCCUGGGCGCCUCCCCUCUGGAGGCAGGCCACCCCCCUGGUCCGCUUCGCGCUCGUCUCCUGGGACCUGAGUUGGAGGAGCCACGUCUGCAAGGGGCUUGGGCGUCUCUAGAAGAGCGGGGCGGAGCGAGAGCUUUCGGGUUUGGCGAGCUUAAGCCCUGACAGAGUUGUGGCUGGGCGGUGAAGUUUUAAGUGAACUGGGUUUUCGUUACGAUCCUAAAGUUGCACUGUGUGAACUAGGCUCUGCCAAAAUCCGAGCAGAGAAGCAAAGAAGUCGGAAAGAGAUUUGGCGGUGGAAGUGGGAGAUUUAAAAACGGUCUUGUAUGAGUUCAGGAGCCUACGAAGUCCAGCAUCAAGGUUCUGGCAGAUUUGGUGUCUGGCCUGACUUUGAAACUGUGUGAGGAGCUGCCAGAUUCUGUCAUCACUUGGAUUGUGCCCAAUAAACAUCUCUCAGCUGACCAACAAAUAUCUCCUUGGUUCAUGGAUGGUAGUUGUAAAGUAAAUGGACAACAUUCUGUUUGGAAAACCACCACUCUGAUCUGGAAGAUAAAAAUCAGCUAGGUGGGCUGAUUUGUUUACUGUUUUCUUAGCAGUGGUGGAAGAAUUAAACACUGAAUGAUAACAAUCUCUGUAUUUCAUUUUUUACCAACUAAUGGAUGAUGGCCAAUGAAAACCUGAUACUCUGGAUCCUAUUAAAAUCCUCUGAAGAAUAUUGAUUUUUAUUGUUGUCUUCAGCAGUCAGUUAUCUUGGUUGGAUUGAGACUGCAAAGUCUAUUUUGACUUUUUUUCCCUUAUGGAUUCUAAUGUUAGGACAGUUUCCAAGGCCUAUGCAGUGUUCUUUUAGAUCUGUCCUACAUUUGUACUACUCAGGGGCUAGUCUUGGAAUUGUGCUUUGCUUUAUAUUGCCAUUCAGUUCUCAAGGAAUUUACUAUGCUGCUUUGGGGUGUUCUGUGUAUGUGUACUUCAGAAGUGAGCUCUGGAUAUAUUCUGAUUUGUGCACAGAACUAAGAGAACCCUUCUCCAGCUCUCUCCUCUGUGAGAUUCUCUUCAGCCUCCUGCCUCUGUCCUACAGCUGGAAUGAUGGGUUUUAUUCUCUAGGGGUUUUACUUGCCCGUGCCACAGCAAGAGGGAAAAAUGGGGAUUUCUUCCCCACAACUCUUUAAAAUCCAGGGACCCAUUUUCUGUUUCUCUGUCUAUAAAGACAGGGUUGUUUUUUUUAUGAGUUGUAGCUGCCACAGCCUCGCUGGGCACCCACACGCCUGUAAAAUUCUCUCUCCAACCACCCCCAUUCCCGACACACACACACACACACACACACACACACACACACACACACACGUGAAGCUCUCUCUCAUAUGGACCCCUCUUCCAAUUUGAUUCUUGUCCCCAAUACUGCUCUUGUUUACCUUUUCAGAAUGCUCAGGUAGUGGCUUUUGUGUUUCACCCAGAGUGUUUAGUUAUAAUCAGCAGUGGAGACAGGUGUUAGUGGACUAUUCCUUGGCUGGCACUGGAAUCUCUGAAUACUUAUUUCUUAAAUUAGCUAUUUAAUAUCUGUCUCUUCUACUAUACUCAAUGUCAAUAAGGACUAUUUUGGUUUUAUUACUGUAUCCCCAUGACUAGUACAGUUCUUAGCAUAAACUAAGAACUCAAUAAAUAUUUAUUGAACAUAUGAAUGAAUGGACACUUUUCAGAUCUCAUCUUACUUGAUGUUUUUGUAGCAUUCUACACUAUGGAUUGUUUUCACCUGGAAUCUUUUUUUCCCUAGGCUCCCAUAUUAUUAAAGUCUACUGGUUUCCCCAUUUGUCUAGCCUUCCUUUGUAGGUAAGUUGCUAUUUCUUUAUGAACCUUGCAGCUUUAGAAAUUACUUUUGAAAAGGGGGCACCUACAUAGUCUGCUCAUAUAGGCACACAUAAAUUCUUACUAAUAAAUUCUCAGUCACCAUUUCAUCAUUUUAGAACCAAACAGAUAUUUGUUAACUGCAUAGUGGCCCUCCUUUGCUAUCUAUCUUAUUUCUGUUACUAGGCCCCAUAUAACUCUUUUUUCCCCUGCUUAUCUAGUUUAUUUCCUACACAAUUCUUGCUAGAGUAUAAUUUUCUAAAAUUUAAAAACAUGACUCUUGGGGUGCC